GGUUGGCAAAAGGUGGUACCAUG
rnacentral:miRNA from 1 species